rnacentral:rRNA from 1 species
GAUGAACGCUGGCGGCGUGCCUAAUACAUGCAAGUCGAGCGAACGGACGAGAAGCUUUCUUCUCUGAUGUUAGCGGCGGACGGGUGAUUAACACGUGGAUAACCUACCUCUAAGACUGGGAUAACUUCGGGAAACCGGAGCUAAUACCGGAUAAUAUUUUGAACCGCAUGGUUCAAAAGUGAAAGACGGUCUUUCUGUCACUUAUAGAUGGAUCCGCGCUGCAUUAGCUAGUUGGUAAGGUAACGGCUUACCAAGGCAACGAUGCAUAGCCGACCUGAGAGGGUGAUCGGCCACACUGGAACUGAGACACGGUCCAGACUCCUACGGGAGGCAGCAGUAGGGAAUCUUACGCAAUGGGCGAAAGCCUGACGGAGCAACGCCGCGUGAGUGAUGAAGGUCUUCGGAUCGUAAAACUCUGUUAUUAGGGAAGAACAAAUGUGUAAGUAACUGUGCACAUCUUGACGGUACCUAAUCAGAAAGCCACGGCUAACUACGUG